CGUGAGGAACUUGCCCAUGAGCGGGGGACAACAUUCGGAAACGGAUGCUAAUACCCCAUAGGUGGAUUGGUCGCAUGACGAAUUCAUUAAAGGUGGCUCUGCUACCACUCAUGGAUAGCCUCGCGGCGUAUUAGCUAGUUGGUAAGGUAAUGGCUUACCAAGGCAGUGAUACGUAGCCGACUUGAGAGGGUGAUCGGCCACACUGGGACUGAGACACGGCCCAG
rnacentral:rRNA from 1 species